UACAGAGGUCCCAAGCGUUGUUCGGAUUCACUGGGCGUAAAGGGUGCGUAGGCGGUUGGGUAAGUCUGUCGUGAAAUCUCCGAGCCCAACUCGGAAACUGCGUCGGAUACUAUUCAACUCGAGGAAUGGAGGGGAGACUGGAAUUCUCGGUGUAGCAGUGAAAUGCGUAGAUAUCGAGAGGAACACCAGUGGCGAAGGCGAGUCUCUGGACAUUUCCUGACGCUGAGGCACGAAAGCCAGGGGAGCGAACGGG
rnacentral:rRNA from 1 species